rnacentral:rRNA from 1 species
ACGGUCUUGCUUCUGCGGUUUUUUCAGAGCUUGGGAGUCUACGUUUUUUUAUACAAACCCAAAUGUAUGUUUUAGAACGUGUAUACAAGGCCUUAAAACAGCCUAUAAUAAUCUAUACAACUUUCAGCAACGGAUCUCUUGGCUCUCGCAUCGAUGAAGAACGCAGCGAAAUGCGAUAAGUAAUGUGAAUUGCAGAAUUCAGUGAAUCAUCGAAUCUUUGAACGCACCUUGCGCUCCUUGGUAUUCCGAGGAGCAUGCCUGUUUGAGUGUCAUUAAAUCAUCAACUACCCUUUCAUUUAUUUGUAAAGAGUAGCUUGGACUUGGGAGUCUUCUGUGGGCCUUAGGUCUGCUCUCCUUAAAUGCCUUAGCUGGAAUGUACCCCUGCAGUCCAACUGUUAGUGUGAUAAUUAUCUACGCUA